rnacentral:snRNA from 1 species
GGAUGUGAGGGUGAUCUGGCUGCGACAUCUGUCACCCCAUUGAUCGCCAGGGUUGAUUCGGCUGAUCUGGCUGGCUAGGCGGGUGUCCCCUUCCUCCCUCACUGCUCCAUGUGCGUCCCUCCCGAAGCUGCGCGCUCGGUGGAAGAGGACGACGUCCCAGGUAUAGAAGGAGUGUACCGAGGUCUCCAGUCUUCGGUCUCGGGUAUACGAUAGCUGCGCUCCCCUGCUAGAACCUCCAAACAAGCUCAAGGAAGCUACUUAAGUUGCACUUUGAGCUCCUAUUUGAGGUACAUCAUCUCUAAUU